CGCCGCCGCUGUUGCCGCCGCCGCCGCCGGUGGUUCCUCUCGCCCCGCGCAGUGCGGCCGGGCUCCCCGACUUUCGGCGGGCUUUGGGACCCGGGAAGUGGCGUCGCCGGCGAGGGUGCUCGACCCGGGCUCUUGUGCUGCCUCGGAGCGGGGCUCUUUGGGCUCGGCCGCUGCCUGCCGCAGACUGCUGUUUCUAGAGCCAAGGCUGUCAUCUGUGCGGGUGGCCUGCAAGAUCCAACAAAUAAAACGUGAAAGCCUUUUUUAUCAAAGGGGAAAAAAGAGAAGAAUCACCAUCUCAGAAGUUAUUCAAAAGGCUUUUGAAUGAAAAAUCCCCUCCCACACACGCUUGUUUCGGUCCCACAUUUUCCAUCCUGCUUGAGAAUAUACAAAAUGGAAGUCCCAUAUAGAAUCACUUUCUGGAGAUCCAUACUGUUUAUACCUAAUGCUGUAAUAAUAUCUUUCCACUGAAAAAUAUGUAUUAUUUUCAUAUGUCAUAUGAAGUAUUGUCAACUGAUUGAAGAAAUAUUAGUCAAUUAGUGAUGCAACUAGCUGCUUAUGAACUACCUAACUUUAAACAGUUUUUUCCUAUGCAUAAAAAUAAAGAAUUAUAAGAAACCAGAA